rnacentral:rRNA from 1 species
UACAGAGGUCUCAAGCGUUGUUCGGAUUCAUUGGGCGUAAAGGGUGCGUAGGCGGCGGGGCAAGUCGGAUGUGAAAUCUCAGGGCUCAACCCUGAAACUGCAUCCGAUACUGCUCUGCUCGAGGACUGGAGAGGAGAUUGGAAUUCACGGUGUAGCAGUGAAAUGCGUAGAUAUCGUGAGGAAGACCAGUGGCGAAGGCGGAUCUCUGGACAGUUCCUGACGCUGAGGCACGAAGGCCAGGGGAGCAAACGGG